rnacentral:rRNA from 1 species
CCUACGGGAGGCAGCAGUGAGGAAUAUUGGUCAAUGGACGCAAGUCUGAACCAGCCAUGCCGCGUGCAGGAAGACGGCUCUAUGAGUUGUAAACUGCUUUUGUACGAGGGUAAACGCAGAUACGCGUAUCUGUCUGAAAGUAUCGUACGAAUAAGGAUCGGCUAACUCCGUGCCAGCAGCCGCGGUAAUACGGAGGAUUCAAGCGUUAUCCGGAUUUAUUGGGUUUAAAGGGUGCGUAGGCGGUCGGAUAAGUUAGAGGUGAAAUCCCGAGGCUCAACUGCGGAAUUGCCUCUGAUACUGGUAGGCUAGAGAGUAGUUGCGGUAGGCGGAAUGUAUGGUGUAGCGGUGAAAUGCUUAGAGAUCAUACAGAACACCGAUUGCGAAGGCAGCUUACCAAGCUACUUCUGACGUUGAGGCACGAAAGCGUGGGGAGCAAACAGGAUUAGAUACCCCUGUAGUC